AACGCACAUUGCACCUACUGGUAUUCCGGUAGGUAUAUCUGUCUGAGCGUCAGCAAAACAUCCUUCGGACAGUCUUCUUGACUGGCUCCGGUGAUGGGCUUGGAGGGAAGAGUAUACUCUCCCUUCAGCCCUAAACCUGCUACGCAACCGCAAGCCACUUCUGGCUGAAUUUACGGAGUGGUGUUUACAUGUCUUCCGUAUCGGACCGGAUAUUGCUUCCGCGGCGUUAAACUCGAAGUUACCUUAAGUCGCAACUUUGGUUUGACCUCAGAUCAGAUAAGGAUACCCGCUGAACUUAA
rnacentral:misc_RNA from 1 species